UUUGUGCGAAGGUAGCAUAAUCAUUAGUCUUUUAAUUGAAGGCUUGUAUGAAUGGUUGGACAAAAAGUAAUCUGUCUCAAUUGUAAUAGUUGAACUUAACUUUUAAGUGAAAAGGCUUAAAUACUUUAAGGGGACGAUAAGACCCUAUAAAACUUGACAAUAAAUUAGUUAAAUUAUAAAUUGUUAGUAUAACUUGAUCUUAAUUAAUGUUUGUUGCGUUGGGGCGACGGGAAUAUAAUUAGUAACUGUUCUUAAAUACUUAUUAACAAGUAUAAUUGAAAAAUAAUUGAUCCUUUAUUAAAGAUUAAAAGAUUAAGUUACUUUAGGGAUAACAGCGUAAUCUUCUUUGAGAGUCCUCAUCGACAAGAAGGUUUGCGACCCCGAUGUUGAAUUAAGG
rnacentral:rRNA from 1 species